rnacentral:rRNA from 1 species
AUUGAACGCUGGCGGCAGGCCUAACACAUGCAAGUCGAGCGGAUGAAGGGAGCUUGCUCCUGGAUUCAGCGGCGGACGGGUGAGUAAUGCCUAGGAAUCUGCCUGGUAGUGGGGGAUAACGUCCGGAAACGGGCGCUAAUACCGCAUACGUCCUGAGGGAGAAAGUGGGGGAUCUUCGGACCUCACGCUAUCAGAUGAGCCUAGGUCGGAUUAGCUAGUUGGUGGGGUAAAGGCCUACCAAGGCGACGAUCCGUAACUGGUCUGAGAGGAUGAUCAGUCAGACUGUAACUGAGACAGGGCCCAGACUCCGACGGGAGGCCGCAGUGGGGAAUAUUGGACGAUGGGGGAAAGCCUGAUACAGCCAUGCCGCGUGUGUGAAGAAGGUCUUCGGAUUGUAAAGCAAUGUAAGUUGGGAGGAAGGGCAGUAAGUUUAUACCUUGCUGUUUUGACGUUACCAACAGAAUAAGCACCGGCUAACUUCGUG